rnacentral:rRNA from 1 species
GACGUAGGGUGCGAGCGUUGUCCGGAAUUACUGGGCGUAAAGAGCUCGUAGGUGGUUUGUCGCGUUGUUCGUGAAAACUCACAGCUUAACUGUGGGCGUGCGGGCGAUACGGGCAGACUUGAGUACUGCAGGGGAGACUGGAAUUCCUGGUGUAGCGGUGGAAUGCGCAGAUAUCAGGAGGAACACCGGUGGCGAAGGCGGGUCUCUGGGCAGUAACUGACGCUGGAGGAGCGAAAGCAUGGGGAGCGAACAGG